UACGUAGGCAGCAAGCGUUGUUCGGAGUUACUGGGCGUAAAGGGUGCGUAGGCGGUUGUUUAAGUUUGGUGUGAAAUCUCCCGGCUCAACUGGGAGGGUGCGCCGAACACUGAAUGACUCGAGUGCGGGAGAGGAGAGUGGAAUUCCUGGUGUAGCGGUGAAAUGCGUAGAUAUCAGGAGGAAUACCGAUGGCGAAGGCAGGUCUCUGGGCUAGAACUGACGCUCAUGCACGAAAGCGUGGGGAGCAAACAGG
rnacentral:rRNA from 1 species